AUUGGUCAAUAGCCUAACGGCUGAACCAGCAACUUGGAGGAAUGUAUAGGUAAAGCUAAAUGUAUUUUUUAAUUGUAAUACAUAUUCGAUUUAUUCGUAUAAAGUUCUAGAUAGAAUUUUGAUAAUGACAUUGUCUAUCUAUAAGUCUUGGCCAAACUACGUGCCAGCAGCCGCGGUAAGACGUAAAAGACUAGUGUUAUUCAUCUUUAAUAGGUUUAAAGCGUACCUAGACGGUAAAUCAAGCCUUAAGGGGACUAAUUUAACUAGAGUUAGAUGUAAGGGUGCAUAAACGUACUGUUGAGUGUAGAGAUGAUAUUCUUUUAUACCAGAUUAUUGGCACGGGUUUAGGCGAAAGCAUCACCUUAUGUAAUAACUGACGUUGAGGGACGAAGGCUUUGUGUCGCGAACAGGAUUAGAUACCCUAGUAGUCUAAGCAGAAAAUGAUGAGUGUCAUAGGUUAAAUAUUAUUUGGUCUAUAAAUGAAAGUGUAAGCAUUCCACCUCAAGAGUAAUUUGGCAACAUUGGAAUUGAAAUCAUUAGACCGUUUCUGAAACCAGUAGUGAAGUAUGUUGUUUAAUUAGAUAAUCCACAAAGAACCUUACCACAAUUUGAAUAUUUUACAAGUGUUGCACGGCUGUCUUCAGUUAAUGUCGUGAGAUUAUGGUUAGUUCCAUUAAAUUAACGUAAACCCUUACUUUAUUUUAUAUAAUAUAAAGUUGUUCGCCGCUAGAUUGGUUAGAUAAAAGGA
rnacentral:rRNA from 1 species